UAUGUAGGGGGCAAGCGUUGUCCGGAUUUAUUGGGCGUAAAGAGCGUGUAGGCGGCCAUGCAGGUCCGCUGUGAAAACUGGAGGCUUAACCUCCAGACGUCGGUGGAAACCGCAUGGCUAGAGUCCGGAAGAGGAGAGUGGAAUUCCCGGUGUAGCGGUGAAAUGCGCAGAUAUCGGGAAGAACACCCGUGGCGAAGGCGGCUCUCUGGGACGGUACUGACGCUGAGACGCGAAAGCGUGGGGAGCGAACAGG
rnacentral:rRNA from 1 species